GAGGAUUUUCUAAGUUCAAAUCUUUAACUUGCACCAAGUGAUAGAGACACCCCUCAAAAAUCAAGUUCAAGGCUCUAAGAUAUGAAAUGAACCUUUCCUUAGGCACUAAGGAACUACCUUCAAACUUAAUCACCAAUUCAUUAGUAAAUUGGAAACUGACUCUAUGUGUAUGACAAUCAAGCGAUACAUAGCACGAGUGCAAC
rnacentral:lncRNA from 1 species